rnacentral:misc_RNA from 1 species
ACCCAGCCUUAUGAACAAGAUAUGGAGAUCGGCUAUGAGGACAGCACAUUACCACCGACUUUUGAAGGUCUUGAACAGAAGUUCCUUGAUGAAAUAACGAGAUUGGGACAGGAACAAAUUGAUGCAGAAGAUGCAGAAAAUACUAGGCAUAGGGAGAAAAUAAUUGAGAUCAAUUAUUGGUACCAGGACAAACUAUCAGAACUACGCACUCAACAAGCAAAUCAAAGAAAAGUAUUUCUUCGAAAGGAAUCACAGGCACGAUUGAAUCAGUAUCAGCAAGCCGGAAUGAGCCACUUCUCAAACACGGGCGUUGGCAGCAAUAGUGGUGCGCCAGCUACAGGUUCUACAAACGUAC